rnacentral:rRNA from 1 species
AGAGUUUGAUCCUGGCUCAGGAUGAACGCUAGCUACAGGCUUAACACAUGCAAGUCGAGGGGAAACGACAUCGAAAGCUUGCUUUUGAUGGGCGUCGACCGGCGCACGGGUGAGUAACGCGUAUCCAACCUGCCCACCACUUGGGGAUAACCUUGCGAAAGUAAGACUAAUACCCAAUGACGUCUCUAGAAGACAUCUGAAAGGGAUUAAAGAUUUAUCGGUGAUGGAUGGGGAUGCGUCUGAUUAGCUUGUUGGCGGGGUAACGGCCUACCAAGGCUACGAUCAGUAGGGGUUCUGAGAGGAAAGUCCCCCACAUUGGAACUGAGACACGGUCCAAACUCCUACGGGAGCA